GACGAACGCUGGCGGCGUGCCUAAUACAUGCAAGUAGAACGCACAGUUUAUACCGUAGCUUGCUACACCAUAGACUGUGAGUUGCGAACGGGUGAGUAACGCGUAGGUAACCUGCCUGGUAGCGGGGGAUAACUAUUGUAAACGAUAGCUAAUACCGCAUAAUAUUAAUUAUUGCAUGAUAAUUAAUUGAAAGGUGCAAUUGCACCACUACCAGAUGGACCUGCGUUGUAUUAGCUAGUAGGUGAGGUAACGGCUCACCUAGGCGACGAUACAUAGCCGACCUGAGAGGGUGAUCGGCCACACUGGGACUGAGACACGGCCCAGACUCCUACGGGAGGCAGCAGUAGGGAAUCUUCGGCAAUGGACGAAAGUCUGACCGAGCAACGCCGCGUGAGUGAAGAAGGUUUUCGGAUCGUAAAGCUCUGUUGUAAGAGAAGAAAGGGUGUGAGAGUGGAAAGUUCACACUGUGACGGUAUCUGACCAGAAAGGGACGGCUAACUACGUG
rnacentral:rRNA from 1 species